CUCGCAGCGAUUCACGCCAGUAGAAGUAACGUAGCCCAGAAAGGCCUUCAUCUCAGCCAGCGUCACAUUGGUCCAUCCUUCAUCGCUGCCAAAGCGUUCCUGGUACUUCUUGGCAUACAUGUUGGUCUGGGUCACCAUGUUCUGAAUGACGUUGUCAGGGACAAACAGCUGGAAGAAGUCCAUUGCCGUGGCAGUGGCUGGCAUUUUCUGUGUCGGACCUGCAAAAUAAAAGCUUGUGCCAAAGCAAAGGCAGCAACCAGAUGGCCAGUUUUCCCCCCAUGGUGACAGACAGAACUUUCUGAGCAACCACGAUGGAAAGAUCUGUCAUUUAUCAACAGCACGGCAUCUACUCAAUUUGGAAAUCGUUCAAACCAAAACAACAAAAUAUUAUGCACAGAUUGGGAUACUUUCUUCUAAGACAUUAUCAUGGCAUUCUAAGGCAUUUCUCAGUAUGUUUUGGUCCAUUAAAUACCAUUACUUUAUUCCCCAUAUUUGUGCAAUGAAAGCUCUUUAUAUGACUUUUAAAAACAGACUCAAACAUUUGUCAUUUAAAGAUGCUCUUGGGUCACUUUGACUUGAUUGAAAUGAAGCAUGAAAUUAGUAACAGUCUAUUGAUCUACAUGUCAAGCGGCCAGGUUCUGUACAGUUAGUGAUGCCAACGAGUCUCUUCACUCCUGUUUAUGAUAAUAUUUAGACUGCCAUUAAAUGCCAUUUAGAGAACAUAUAAUAAAAUAGCAUACAACUCUCGUCUCAACCAUCUUUGCCAGAAAAACAAAAACAACAUUUUGUUAUUAAUGCAGAAAUUAUUCACUGUACAUUAUGUAAUCCAAAGCAUUUGCAAAUCUGCCUGGCAUUAGCACAUGAUUAUCUCUAUCUAGGUUUCGGAGAGAAUUAUAGACCUUCAAUAUUGUGUGGCUGAAAUCGAAAAAGAGACCUUCUCUUUCUCUCUCAAAUUCAUUCAUUACAAGAGUUUAUAUUCAGGUUAUUUCACAAUAUAUCUUGUUUUAUAUAUUUAGUUCAACUCCGUCAAACUCCAGUCAUGAAUCAUUUCAUUUCAUAUUACUUAAUUUCAAGGUAAGAGAAUAUAGAAAACCAUUCACUUAAUACUUUGUGAGACAUGGAAAAUUGAUUACAACGCUGGCAUCACAAUUGGCAGAGGAUCCAUUGGUGAGCAGGUGAUAUAAUGCUAAAUUCCUGUCCCGACACAUGCACAUCAUCUUUAACUGUUAAGUGAAUAAACCAUUAAGCAGCAUACCACAAGUAUUUGACUGGCAAGCAUCUUUAUAGUGAUAAGUCAUGCAAAAUUUACCAGGUGAACUGAGAUCAUAAAAAUGACUAAAUAAGUGUUUGUCUAUGGAAUAAAUGUCGAGAUAGUCAGUCAGUCGUGAGCUUGGAUAAAAUGUGGUGACAGUUUGCAUGAAAGGCAAAAUCCUUUAAAAAUGAGAUUAAGCCACCUACAGUGACAGUGAAUUGAAUACUUAUUCAAACUGGUGACUGCAUGACAUGAAUGUUAAGGAUUUCAUCCUACAAUAAACUACUGGGUCUGACUUGUG